UACGGGGGGAGCAAGCGUUGUUCGGAUUUACUGGGCGUAAAGGGCGCGUAGGCGGUCAGCACAAGUCAAUUGUGAAAUCUCCGGGCUUAACUCGGAAAGGUCAACUGAUACUGUGCGACUAGAGUGCGGAAGGGGCAACUGGAAUUCUCGGUGUAGCGGUGAAAUGCGUAGAUAUCGAGAGGAACACCUGCGGCGAAGGCGGGUUGCUGGGCCGACACUGACGCUGAUGCGCGAAAGCCAGGGGAGCGAACGGG
rnacentral:rRNA from 1 species